GACGAACGCUGGCGGCGUGCUUAACACAUGCAAGUCGAACGGAAAGGCCCUGCUUUUGUGGGGUGCUCGAGUGGCGAACGGGUGAGUAACACGUGAGUAACCUGCCCUUGACUUUGGGAUAACUUCAGGAAACUGGGGCUAAUACCGGAUAGGAGCUCCUGCUGCAUGGUGGGGGUUGGAAAGUUUCGGCGGUUGGGGAUGGACUCGCGGCUUAUCAGCUUGUUGGUGGGGUAGUGGCUUACCAGGGCUUUGACGGGUAGCCGGCCUGGGAGGGUGACCGGCCACAUUGGGACUGAGAUACGGCCCAGACUCCUACGGUAGGCAGCAGUGGGGAAUAUUGCACAAUGGGCGGAAGCCUGAUGCAGCAACGCCGCGUGCGGGAUGACGGCCUUCGGGUUGUAAACCGCUUUCGCCUGUGACGAAGCGUGAGUGACGGUAAUGGGUAAAGAAGCACCGGCUAACUACGUG
rnacentral:rRNA from 1 species